UACGUAGGGUGCAAGCGUUAAUCGGAAUACUGGGCGUAAAGCGUGCGCAGGCGGUUAUGUAAGACAGGUGUGAAAUCCCCGGGCUUAACCUGGGAAUUGCAUUUGUGACUGCAUGGCUAGAGUGUGUCAGAGGGGGGUAGAAUUCCACGUGUAGCAGUGAAAUGCGUAGAUAUGUGGAGGAAUACCGAUGGCGAAGGCAGCCCCCUGGGAUAACACUGACGCUCAUGCACGAAAGCGUGGGGAGCAAACAGG
rnacentral:rRNA from 1 species